UUGUCUCCACGACCACCUCCUUCGCAUGUGCAUGGACUGCAUCUACCCGCGGCCCUGCGCAUGGUCCUAUGUGUCCACCCCUUCAAAUUCGUCAUUGUCCUCCGGCGCCAGCGCGCUCAGCCGAGUCCAUAGCCUCAUCGAGCGGGAGCGCCGAGUCGAUGGGGAGCACUCCAUCGCCGCGCACGUAGCCAUCGGCGUACCAGGUCUAGUGUAUGGGGCUUGGUAUCUUUCUAGAAGCCACGCCACCACCGUCUGCGACCACAGCCACAAGGUGCAGGGAUGUGGAGCAGGAGUACUACAAGGCAGUGGCGUCGGCGAGGUCGAGAUCAUUGUCAAUGGCGGCAGUGCUGGCUUCACAGGGCAAGGGAGUGCUGCGGAACCAUAAGCCUCGCGCUCACCUUCGAUUAGCGAGAUAGCGUGAGAUGAAGUUGAUCAUGAGGUUAGUUUGUUGUCGAUUCCUCGAUUUAGGUGGUGUUGGCUGAUCGACCGAACAUGCACGUAGUCUCUUGCGUUAAUUUGUUGAUUCAUUCUGUUGUUCUCUCAGUUUUGUUUCGUACUGCUAAUUAUGAUCACAACGAAUGUAAAUAUGUUAUUGGUUCCCAGUUGUGCAUUUUUCUGAUUAUCGCAACAAGUUUUGUGUGAACACAAGGUUGACUUGUCCCUUGUGGUCCAGGUUGAUGAUGAAUGAUUGUCAAUGGGUAGCACUCUAGGGUAGUCAGUGGACUGACUAGAGCGUGAGAUUAUGCUUGUGCAACUAUGUCGGUCGACUUGUGUUGUGCAGGUGUGGAGCAUAGGGAUGGUGGUCGAUGGCUGAGGCGAAGGUCAUGCGGGCUCAUGCUGAUGGACCGAAAGCGGUGAAGGGCGAGUGUCGGGUCUUGACUGAUGGAUCGGAGUAGCCGGGUGACCAGACGCGGUAGCUGACACCUGGGACACGCACUCGUGCGAGGACGUGGUGGAGUGGACUGUAUUGCCGGCGUGGUCAAGGACUGGCGAGACACAUGUCUGGUCGUGGAGGACGCGCACGAGGUGCGUUACUCAUGGCAGGUUUGGUGGUUUGGACCUGGAAACCACACAGCGCUACGGAUGGCGGGUUUUGCUGAGUUUGGGCCUCAAAACUCAGCGGCAGAGGUUUUAGAGGGAACUGGUGGUGACACGUGGCGUGAUCGCGGAGGGUGCGUAAAGGCGAAGCGACUCCAUGUGAAGGAUGUGGCCCUCGAAUCGAAAACCUAGGAGUUGGUCCAUUUCGUGCCCGGUGGAGUGGAUAGGCUCUAUGUAAAUAGCAGUAGUUUAGGAAAUGACAAUAACCCUCUAUAAAUAGAGAGAAUGGCUAGUUCGUCUAGCAUCUCUUGAGUGCUAUUUGUUUAGAGCACUCAUUCUAGAGCUCUUAGUUUUCUCUCUAGGUAGACUCCAGUUGAGCCGAGAGGUCCACAACGAUUUUGUACUUGGACUGUGUUCUUGAUCUUCAAGUUUAAUCAGAGGAAGGGUUGUCAGUCCGGCCCAUAACGUUCUUUGGCUUCAAUCUCAGUUUUGUAUACUUGCUGAAAUCUGAAGUCUUGUGUUCUUGGUUUCUCCCUUUCCCUUCUCCGGCAAAGAAGGCGAGAGUAUGGUAGUGAUGAAGCCCGAAAGCCCAGCCCGAAGCCCGUUUUUGUGGACCGGUACGAGCCCGACCCAGUCCGCUUU
rnacentral:lncRNA from 1 species